rnacentral:ncRNA from 1 species
CCCUUCAUGCCUAUCAACGAUGCACAAACAGAAGGGG